CUCGGGGCUAGCUGGGCUCUAUGGUAGGGGGGUCUCCUAGGGUGGGAUCGACAGAACAAGGACGGGGCUGGCUGGGCUUAACGGCGUGGGGGGUAAGGGUCUCGAGGUUGGCUCGAUGGCAGCAGGGACCUCUCGACGGCGGUGGUGGUCUCGGCAAGAGCUAGUUGUAGGGAUGAUUUUAGAAAGAAAUUCAUGACAGUCAAUCCUUACUUUGGAAGGACUAUGAUGAGGGUGUGUACAAGGACAAGAAGAAGAAAGAUAUAUAUUUUGACAAUGAAUUUAGUGUUUUAUUUUAUUUUUGAUUUUUAUUAGAGUAUAAAUUUUCUUUUUUGAGUGGUUAAUUAUUUACUUUGUAAAUCUAGUUAUAUUUUUUAUUAGAUUUGUAAAUUGAAUGUAUAAAUUUUGUUAUUUUAA